CCUGGGGCGGUCGGGCAGGCAGCGGUCGGGGAAAGUUGGUCUCCGAGCGUCAUGUACUACAAGUUUAGUGGCUUCACGCAGAGGUUGAUGGGAGCAUGGGCUUCGGACGCAUAUAGUCCGCAGGGAUUAAAGCCUGUGGUUUCCACAAAAGCACCACCUAUCAUAUUUGCCACACCAACUAAACUGACCUUUGAGUCUACGUAUGAUUAUGCUGGGAAAAACAAAGUUCCAGAGCUACAGAAGUUUUUCCAGAAAUCCGAUGGUGUGCCUGUCCACCUGAAACGAGGCCUGCCUGACCAAAUGCUUUACCGGACCACCAUGGCGCUGACUGUGGGAGGGACCAUCUACUGCCUGAUUGCCCUCUACAUGGCUUCACAACCCAAAAACAAAUGAGUUAGGCUGCAGAGGACUGGUUUGCUAUUUGGCAUUAACCCUUUGAAUUUCCAUUUUCAUUGUUUCUGUUAAAUUUUUUUUUUUUUUUACUUGGAUGGCCUGGCAUACUUAAUGUUUUUGUAAGAAAAACAAAGAUAUGAA